rnacentral:rRNA from 1 species
CACCGCGGUUAUACGAGAGACUCUAACUGACAGCCCACGGCGUAAAGCGUGAUUAUAGGAUGCUACCCUAACUAAAGUCAAAAUCUCCCUAAGCUGUCAUACGCACUUGGGAGCAUGAAGCCCCUCCACGAAGGUAACUUUAUAACCCACAGCCACCCUGAACUCACGAUAGCUAAGACA